rnacentral:rRNA from 1 species
UACAGAGACUGCAAGCGUUAUUCGGAUUCACUGGGCGUAAAGGGUGCGCAGGCGGCCGGGUGUGUCAGAUGUGAAAUCCCGAGGCUUAACCUCGGAACUGCGUCUGAAACUACUCGGCUAGAGUAUUGGAGAGGGUAACGGAAUUCACGGUGUAGCAGUGAAAUGCGUAGAUAUCGUGAGGAACACCAGAGGCGAAGGCGGUUACCUGGACAAUUACUGACGCUCAGGCACGAAAGCAUGGGGAGCAAAA